CAGGCCUAACACAUGCAAGUCGAGCGCUCCAGCAAUGGAGAGCGGCAAACGGGUGCGGAACACGUACGCAAUCUGCCCUUCACUGGGGAAUAGCCCGAAGAAAUUCGGAUUAAUACCCCAUAAAAUAGCAAGGUGGCAUCAUCUAACUAUUAAAGUUCCGGCGGUGAAGGAUGAGCGUGCGUCCUAUUAGGUAGUUGGUAGGGUAAUGGCCUACCAAGCCGACGAUAGGUAGCUGGUGUGAGAGCACGACCAGCCACACGGGCACUGAGACACGGGCCCGACUCCUACGGGAGGCAGCAGUGAGGAAUAUUGGUCAAUGGACGCAAGUCCGAACCAGCCAUGCCGCGUGGAGGAUGAAGGCCCUCUGGGUUGUAAACUUCUUUUAUCAGGGAAGAAAAGCAUUGUUUCUACGAUGUCCGACGGUACCUGAUGAAUAAGCACCGGCUAACUCCGUGCCAGCAGCCGCGGUAA
rnacentral:rRNA from 1 species